rnacentral:lncRNA from 1 species
UCUGAUGAAUAGUACCACUUUAAAUAGUUUCCUUCAUCCAUUGAACAAGCCCUAAUGGUUAGAAUUCAAAAACUAGCCGUUACUCACUGUUGGAAGGACAAAAAGUACUUUUGCAGAACUAGCCGUUAUGCUUCUGUCCGUGCUUGGGUCGACUCAACUUUUACUGGGGUCGAUCCAACUUUCACUUGGGUCGACUCAACCUUUCCUUGGGUCGACCCUCUCAGAACCACAGAACCUUGCAAUUCAGCCUUCACUUG